AUAGCUUGCUAAUUAAGAUCUUAGUGGCGGACGGGUUAGUAACACGUGAGAACCUACCCUUUAGACAGGAAUAGUCCCGGGAAACUGGGUUUAAUGCCUGAUAGUCUCUAUGGAGUAAAUGGUGCCUUCGGGUAUCGCUAAAGGAUGGGCUCGCGGCCUAUCAGUUUGUUGGUGAGGUAAAGGCUCACCAAGACUACGACGGGUAGCUGGUCUGAGAGGACGAUCAGCAACACUGGAACUGAGACACGGUCCAGACACCUACGGGUGGCAGCAGUCGAGAAUCAUUCACAAUGGAGGCAACUCUGAUGGUGCAACGCCGCGUGGAGGAUGACGGUCCUAGGAUUGUAAACUCCUGUCAUUGGGGAGUAAGACUUAUGCGUUAAGAGCGUGUAAGUUUGAUAGUACCCAAAGAGGAAGGGACGGCUAACUUCGUGCCAGCAGCCGCGGUAAUACGAAGGUCCCAAGCGUUGUUCGGAAUCACUGGGCGUAAAGCGUGUGUAGGCUGCGCGGAAAGUCAAAUGUGAAAGCCCGGGGCUCAACCUCGGAACUGCAUUCGAUACUCCCGUGCUAGAGUAAUGGAGAGGUAAGUGGAAUUCCUGGUGUAGCAGUGAAAUGCGUGGAUAUCAGGAGGAACAUCAAUGGCGAAGGCAACUUACUGGACAUUUACUGACGCUCAGACACGAAGGCUAGGGUAGCGAAAGGGAUUAGAUACCCCUGUAGUCCUAGCAGUAAACGGUGCUCGCUUGGUGUGGGGGGAUUCGACCCCUUCUGUGCCGGAGCUAACGCGUUAAGCGAGCCGCCGGGGAAGUGAGGUCGCAAGAAUGAGAAGCAAAAAAAAUGAGAG
rnacentral:rRNA from 1 species